AACAAAAAUGCAAUUAACGAAAAAAAAGAUGUCGAUAAGCUAAGUAGAAUAUACACACCAAUCUUGUAAAUAGAAACGCUUCAGCACAGAAAAUACAUUGAGCCGGCCAUCACAAUUUAUUAAAAUUUUAAACUGUAUAUGUUAAUUAUUGUGUCAUGUGGGUGAUAUUGUAUGAGUAUAAUUUUAAGUUAAAUGUUAUGUGUUAUCACCUGUUAUUUUAUGCAUCCAUGUUUUAAUACAAGUUUGACGAAGGAAAUGUACGUUUUGUGGCUUUGAAAAAGGUUAAAACUGGACCGAAACGUUAGUUAUAUAAUAAACACUUCCUAAACCCAGAAAAAGUUUAAUAUUGACCAAAAGCCAAGAACCCUAUAAAUA